AUGUGACUUUGAUAAUUUAAUCAAUCCAAAACCAACCCAGUUAAAUUGUAAAAACAAUUCUAAGAAUGAAUUUAAUCAAUCCCUUAGCCUAGUAGGAUAAUGCUUCGAGGAUUUCUUUCGCAACUUUUGUAUGUUGGGGAAUUCCGUCACCCCCAUGCGCGGACCGGGGGUGUACUGAUAGUUGCUCAACGGAGGCUAAAGCACACUCAAUUGUUGGGGAUUCCGGCUCCCCCAUGCGCGGAUCGGUGGUGUUCUGAUAGUUGCCCAUAGAAGGCUAAGCACACUGACACAAUGUUUUACGUGGUUCGGCAAAUUGCCUACAUCCACGGGAGAGGUUCAUUUUAUUAGAGAUAGAGAAAGGUUACAAUAAAUAUAUGGAGGAGGAGGAUUGCAUCCACUCUACUCAACUCCCAGCUCACUUCUGUUGCAGCUCUUCUCCCUUUCUCUCUAUUCUCUUCACACACUCACGUUGUCUCU
rnacentral:lncRNA from 1 species